UCCUGGCUCAGGAUGAACGCUGGCGGUCUGCUUAACACAUGCAAGUCGAACGCAAUCCUUAGGGAUUGAGUGGCGGACGGGUGAGUAACGCGUGAGAAUCUGCCUUCAGGUUGGGGACAACCACUGGAAACGGUGGCUAAUACCCAAUGUGCCGCAACGUGAAAGAUUUAUCGCCUGAAGAGGAGCUCGCGUCUGAUUAGCUAGUUGGUGAGGUAAGAGCUCACCAAGGCGUCGAUCAGUAGCUGGUCUGAGAGGACGAUCAGCCACACUGGGACUGAGACACGGCCCAGACUCCUACGGGAGGCAGCAGUGGGGAAUUUUCCGCAAUGGGCGAAAGCCUGACGGAGCAAGACCGCGUGAGGGAGGAAGGCUCUUGGGUUGUAAACCUCUUUUAUCAGGGAAGAAGCUCUGACGGUACCUGAUGAAUAAGCAUCGGCUAACUCCGUGCCAGCAGCCGCGGUAAUACGGAGGAUGCAAGCGUUAUCCGGAAUUAUUGGGCGUAAAGCGUCCGCAGGUGGCUUUUCAAGUCUGCUGUCAAAGCCCGGAGCUCAACUCCGGCAAGGCGGUGGAAACUGAGAAGCUAGAGUGCAGUAGGGGUAGAGGGAAUUCCCGGUGUAGCGGUGAAAUGCGUAGAGUUCGGGAAGAACAUCGGUGGCGAAAGCGCUCUGCUGGACUGCAACUGACACUCACAGGACGAAAGCUAGGGGAGCGAAUGGGAUUAGAUACCCC
rnacentral:rRNA from 1 species